AAGAGUGUAAAAACUCCCAAACCCCUGUGAACAUACCAUCGUUGCUUCGGCGGUCACGCCCCGGGCGCCUCUGCGUGCCCCGGAAUCAGGCGUCCGCCGGGGGACUCUAAACUCUGUUUUUAUUGUACCGUCUGAGUGGAUUAUAAAAUAAAUCA
rnacentral:misc_RNA from 1 species